UCAUCACAUGUACAAAAUUCAAACAAGAAUUGCACUAGCGGAAACAUACACAAACGGCUUACACGGAGGUAAGCAGUAGCCAUUAGUGAAAGAUAGGAAAACUAAACUUCUACACAAGUAGUAUGAUUCAUAUUAGAUCAUAUACAUUGCAUCCAUCUGUUACAUUUAGGAUUCUUUACACUUCAUUAGAUAAUUCCAUCAUUUCUUUCUUACAUCACAUUUACCUCAAAAUAAGCUUUACAUUCUUUUCUUCACAUUGCUAAUCAUCAAAUACAAAAGAUGACAAAAGGGUGUUUGCUAACAAAAUGUACCCAACUUUGGUGGCCUCUUACUAAGGCGCGAUACCUUUACCUCGGUCGCUCGCCGGCUCGCUCGGUCCCGGCUCUGU
rnacentral:lncRNA from 1 species